GAGUUUGAUCCUGGCUCAGGACGAACGCUGGCGGCGUGCUUAACACAUGCAAGUCGAGCGGAAAGGCCCUUCGGGGUACUCGAGCGGCGAACGGGUGAGUAACACGUGAGCAACCUGCCCUAGGCUUUGGGAUAACCCUCGGAAACGGGGGCUAAUACCGAAUAUUACUUGGUCUCGCAUGAGGUUGGGUGGAAAGUUUUUCGGCCUAGGAUGGGCUCGCGGCCUAUCAGCUUGUUGGUGGGGUAAUGGCCUACCAAGGCGACGACGGGUAGCCGGCCUGAGAGGGCGACCGGCCACACUGGGACUGAGACACGGCCCAGACUCCUACGGGAGGCAGCAGUGGGGAAUAUUGCACAAUGGGCGGAAGCCUGAUGCAGCGACGCCGCGUGAGGGAUGACGGCCUUCGGUUGGUAACCUACUUUCUAGCAGGACGAAGCGAGAGUGACGGUACCUGCAGAAGAAGAC
rnacentral:rRNA from 1 species